UCGAGAAUCAUUCGCAAUGGGCGAAAGCCUGACGAUGCGACGCCGUGUGAGCGAAGAAGGCCUUAGGGUCGUAAAGCUCUUUCGCCUGGGAACAAGAGAGGUUGGCUAAUAACCAGCUAAUUUGAGGGUACCAGGUAAAGAAGCACCGGCUAACUCCGUGCCAGCAGCUGCGGUAAUACGGAGGGUGCAAGCAUUAAUCGGAUUUAUUGGGCGUAAAGGGCGCGUAGGCGGAGAUAUAAGUCAGAUGUGAAAUCCUGGGGCUCAACCUCAGAACUGCAUUUGAAACUGUAUCUCUAGAGGGUAGGCGGAGAAAACGGAAUUCCACAAGUAGCGGUGAAAUGCGUAGAUAUGUGGAAGAACACCGGUGGCGAAGGCGGUUUUCUAGCUUAUUCCUGACGCUGAGGCGCGAAAGCAAGGGGAUCAAACAGGAUUAGAUACCCCCGUAGUCC
rnacentral:rRNA from 1 species